GCUGGACAGACUGCUGCCACGCUGGCUGGCUAGGUCGCUCUCAUGGUUUCUAAACAUUCCAGAAGAUAGAUUUACUAGUAUUUAUAUGAAUGAUUUCUGAAUGUAUGUCACAUAUCGGCCACAAGUUCCAUCAUGGAAAUCAGCAAUUGAGGCACAGUAUAUCAUGUAGGUAUAUCUUGUGUGCAUACCUGGGGUCCAUGUGCAAUAAGAGCUCAGCUCUUUGUGUGCUGUGGAAACACAUGCAGGUCAGUUAAAGGGAUGCACUCCUCCAAACAUGAAUCACAUGACUACCAUUCAUGCUGCUCUCAUGUAAGUACUGUCUAAGUACUUCCCUGUGCACUUACACCACUUCAUAUAGCUUAGAGUAAGAGUGGAUGUGGGGAUUUAGAACUUCUACUCCAUACAAUUUGUAGAUCAAGACUAUUUUCCCCAAUGUCUGUUGUCAUUUACCUUCACCUCUAACUCAUUACUCUGUGAUCUUUUUUCAUUCUUGCUCUUCUAGCAUUAAAAGCCACAAUGUGAAUAAGGACAUGAUUAUGACUGAACCCUUCCUUUCAUUGCUGAAUCCCUUGCCUCCUGAUCCUUAUCCAUCUCUUCAUGCCCCAAUCUUGUCAAGCCCUAAUUUCCAAAACGCAUUCUUUUGUAAAAGUGACUUUAUUUAAUAGUCAAAACGUUGAUGAUACAUUACUAAUAAAACCAAUCAUAUUAAUAGCUUAUGUAUAAGGGAAGCUACAAUCUGGCUAUAAUUUUAAUUUAUAUGCAUGUGUAUGUGAGUAUACACACUAUGUUCAAGUGCCUGCAGAACAUGGAAGAGAAUGUUUCUCUCUAGAGCAGGGGCAAUAGAGACUAUGAGCUGCCUGCAGGCAGUGGAAUAAAUUUGGGUCCUCUUGAAGAGCAGAUAGCACCCCAAACCACUGAGCUGUUUCUUAAAAUUUACUUUAAAUCUCUCUUACUCUCACCCUCACUCUCUCUCUGUGUGUGUGUGUCUCUCUCAGCCUCUCUCGCCCUCAUUCUCUCUCUGUGUGUGAUAUGUCUGUGUGCAUGUAUAAAUUUGGAAAUUUCAUCAAAUUAUUAACCUGAAAGUAUGCAUAUAACCUCAUCUUGAAUUUUAUUUGACUGGAUCUGAAUGUGUUUUUAUCAUGUUCAGUUAAGUUAUAGAUGAAUUUAGUUUCAAGACGUAAAAGUUGUAACCACCAGGGUGUUUGUGGUACUGACAUCUACAGUAUAUCACUGUCGUAUGAAUGAACACUGUAUAUGAUGAGCAGAAUCAACUACAGUCCUAAGAGUGAGAGCAGAGUUGUUAUUAGGUGUCCUAAUUCAAUAAUUUGAGGCUACACAGACCUCCUUUUAUAAUCAUUUCUAAAAUUACACAAUUAUCCUUCUACUAAAGUGAAAUAUUUCAAAUUACAAGCUCCCCUAUGGACAAAAAACAAAGAAAAACUUUGUAAAAUGUUUACAGCCAGAUGGACUAGUAGAGGAUUUCUUUUCCCAGUACAAUCCAAGUCCCAAAUUCCCUUGAAGCUUUCUCAGCAAUAUGUCAUGUGAUGUUUGAGUUAGCUCUUUGAGCCACUUCAUACUUGGAAACAUGUCCACUUAAGGUUUUUAUGCCAGCACAACAGAGGAAUUGUUAUUUCCCAGAAUCCCCAAAAGAAUAAGAUAUUGAAGUGUCUGCUGUCAUUGCUCUUUUCUGUUUGUAAGUGAAAGAUGAUUCAGGUGUCGUGAUGAGGGGCCCUGUUAAAAAUUUACAGUCAGAUCACUGCGUAGUCUUUUACUCUCAACAGAUAUGGGAACCAUUGGCAAGUGAGCCAAGAGUUUCUGAGUUUGAUUCCAGAGCUGUCAGUAAUUUUCUUUGCUAUAAUGAUCUUGUCAUCUGAGUCUUGCUUACUUCACCCUUCUUAUUGGAACUAACACAGUAAGAUGGUACUGCUCACUAACUCUAUAGUAGUGGGAUAAAAGCAUUUUAGUCGGAGAAAUGUAUGUUUAAAAUAUCUCAGGAAAUUGCCUAACUUUUUAAUGUAUGCAACAGAAACAUAUCAGAUGAACUCAUCAGUUUUUGAUAUAGGGUCUAUGCAGUUAUUGCAGAAGUUAAGGUAUUUAUUGGCUAAAGCAAGAAUAAAGAUUAUUUUCUUUUGGAGAUUCUUGACAUUGUACACAAAGUAUCAGAAUGAAGCUAGAACAUCACAUGUUUGUUGGGCAAAUCUGGAUAUGUGUAAAAUUGAUCUUUCAUAUAUUAAAUUGCUAUUAUUCUCAGAUGAGUUACUAAAAUUAGAUGCUUUGUGCAUUCAAUGAAAAAUGGAAGCUCUAUUGGUUGAGUCUAUUUAAAUGCAAAGAAAAUAAAUGAUUCUAACAAAGUUAAUACAAGCAGUGAGAAAGACAACAGGACAUACUAUUUCAAGCUACUGGUUGCAUGGGAGUGGGUGGGACUCAAAAUUCAUUAGGUGACAUCACUGUAACUUGGUCAAGAGUGUAUGCUCUUUUAGAAAUGUGUAAUAUCUUCUACAACAACUCUUCUGAAGGAUCUUGAGAAUUCUAGCCAGUUCUCAUGUGGCAUUAACAUAGCUUGGAGUUAAAGUGAAUUCUUUUUCCCCCACACAAAGAAAAUAUCAAACUUCAAGAACAUAAUGUUAAUGUUUAUAUAUCAUCACAUAAAAUACUCAUUGAUCUAAAACAUUUUCUGUAGCUAAAUAA